rnacentral:rRNA from 1 species
CGAGCACGCGCGUGUGGCAUAUCAAUAAGCGGAGGAAAAGAAACUAACAAGGAUUCCCUUAGGUAACGGCGAGUGAAGCGGGAAGAGCUCAAAUUUGAAAUCUUCAAGGUUCUACCUUGACGAAUUGUAGUUUAUAGAAGUGUUUUCUGUUAGUGAGUUGGCUAAAAGUUCUUUGGAAUAGGACAUCAUAGAGGGUGAGAAUCCCGUAUUUGGUCAUUCCUCCUAGCGUUGUGAUACACUUUCAACGAGUCGGAUUGUUUGGGAAUGCAGUCCAAAAUGGGUGGUAAAUUUCAUCUAAAGCUAAAUAUUGGCGAGAGACCGAUAGCGAACAAGUACCGUGAGGGAAAGAUGAAAAGAACUUUGAAAAGAGAGUUAAACAGUACGUGAAAUUGUCAAAAGGGAAGCGUUUGACACCAGUGUUGUUUUUCCGAAAAUCAAUUACGAAUGUUUUGUUUUUGAGGAGUUAUGACUUCAUCGGCUUGCUCCUUUCUUUAUGAAACUUUCUUAAUGCACUUUUCGGUUAACAGGUCAACAUCAAUUUCUUUUGUUGUAAAGGGUAUGAGGAAGGUGGCUUUCUUUUCGGAGAAAGUGUUUAUAGCCUUGUGCCUCUGCAAUCGGAGAGAUUGAGGUCUGCAGCGUAGAUCCUUCGGGGUUAGAUACAUUUGUGCUAAGUUAUAGCUUUUCAUAGACAACUUGUUGACUAUGUUUAGUCUUGUAGCUUACUCGCUUAUGCUAUUUUACCUACGCUUAGGAUGUUGAUGUGAUACUGCGAGCA